AACCAUGAUGGGGACAUUUGCGUAGGAGACCCUUGAAUCUUUCAUGUGCCUUAAAGAGUGUGUCGGGGUCUCCCUACCUGAAAGCUGAAAUCUCUUGCCUCAGGCU